rnacentral:rRNA from 1 species
AGUGAACGCUGGCGGUAGGCCUAACACAUGCAAGUCGAACGGCAGCACAGUAAGAGCUUGCUCUUACGGGUGGCGAGUGGCGGACGGGUGAGGAAUACAUCGGAAUCUACUUUUUCGUGGGGGAUAACGUAGGGAAACUUACUCUAAUACCGCAUACGACCUACGGGGGAAAGCAGGGGAUCUUCGGACCUUGCGCGAUUGAAUGAGCCGAUGGCGGAUUAGCUAGUUGGCGGGGUAAAGGCCCACCAAGGCGACGAUCCGUAGCUGGUCUGAGAGGAUGAUCAGCCACCCUGGAACUGAGACACGGUCCAGACUCCUACGGGAGGCAGCAGUGGGGAAUAUUGGACAAUGGGCGCAAGCCUGAUCCAGCCAUACCGCGUGGGUGAAGAAGGCCUUCGGGUUGUAAAGCCCUUUUGUUGGGAAAGAAAAGCAGCAGGUUAAUACCCCGCUGUUCUGACGGUACCCAAAGAAUAAGCACCGGCUAACUUCGUG